CUAAGAUAUUGCACACAGUAGAGCACUACACAGUUAAAAAAAAUGCUAGAUUAUAUACAUUUCCCAGAUGCAUUAGUGAGUUUGGGUCAAAACAUGGGUUAUUUUUUCUAUUAUUGGGUUAUUUUAAACAACCCAGCACUGCGGUGGGACCUGAAAGAGAACAUACACAUAACAUAAUUCCCUGGUCGCCCUUUGUAACCAUUUCCCUCCUGCUGGAAGAGUUCUGUUGGCUCUGCAAAAACAUCAAUUGCGAUAAAGCACAGCUACUGCACGUGUGCUGCUCAGCAACAGCGAGAGGAAAAAGGAAACCGUGUCAGUGUUUCAAUCUGGGAGGUGGUGAACAGGAGGCAGGUGUGUAAUCCCACACUGAGUUUGAUUUAGAGGCCAAGAAGUGGGACAUUG
rnacentral:lncRNA from 1 species